rnacentral:rRNA from 1 species
GACGAACGCUGGCGGCGUGCUUAACACAUGCAAGUCGAACGGAAAGGCCCUGCUUUUGUGGGGUGCUCGAGUGGCGAACGGGUGAGUAACACGUGAGUAACCUGCCCUUGACUUUGGGAUAACUUCAGGAAACUGGGGCUAAUACCGGAUAGGAGCUCCUGCUGCAUGGUGGGGGUUGGAAAGUUUCGGCGGUUGGGGAUGGACUCGCGGCUUAUCAGCUUGUUGGUGGGGUAGUGGCUUACCAAGGCUUUGACGGGUAGCCGGCCUGAGAGGGUGACCGGCCACAUUGGGACUGAGAUACGGCCCAGACUCCUACGGUAGGCAGCGGUGGGGAAUAUUGCACAAUGGGCGGGAGCCUGAUGCAGCAACGCCGCGUGCGGGAUGACGGCCUUCGGGUUGUAAACCGCUUUCGCCUGUGACGAAGCGUGAGUGACGGUAAUGGGUAAAGAAGCACCGGCUAACUACGUG